rnacentral:rRNA from 1 species
GAUGAACGCUAGCGGCAGGCCUAAUACAUGCAAGUCGAACGGUGUCUUCGGACAUAGUGGCGCACGGGUGCGUAACACGUAUGCAACCUACCUUACAUUGGGGGAUAGCCUUUCGAAAGGGAGAUUAAUACCGCAUAAGACAGUAGCUGGGCAUCCAGCAGCUGUUAAAGAUUUAUCGAUGUAAGCUGGGCAUGCGUCCGAUUAGCUAGUUGGUGAGGUAACGGCUCACCAAGGCAAUGAUUGGUAGGGGAACUGAGAGGUCAAUCCCCCACACUGGCACUGAGAUACGGGCCAGACUCCUACGGGAGGCAGCAGUAGGGAAUAUUGGGCAAUGGACGCAAGUCUGACCCAGCCAUGCCGCGUGCAGGAUGAAGGCGUUAUGCGUUGUAAACUGCUUUUAUACAGGAAGAAACGACUCUUGCGAGAGGCAUUGACGGUACUGUAUGAAUAAGCCCCGGCUAACACCGUGCCAGCAGCCGCCGCCGUAA